GACCUCAUAGCGAAAUUGGUAUUGCAUUCACACCCUUUAGAUGUACCGCUGUGGAAGUCCCUCGUUCGAACCGAGGUUAGGUUG